rnacentral:sRNA from 1 species
GCUGGGUGAGGUGGCUCAUGCCUGUGAUCCCAGCAACCCAGGAGGCUGAAACAGGAGGGUCACAAGUUCAAAAGCCAGCCUCAACAAUUAUACAAGGCCCUCAGCAAUUUAAUGAGAUUCUGUCUCAAAAUAGAAAAUAAAACUAGGGAUGGGGAUGCAGCUCAGUGGUAGAGGCUGGCUUUUGAACUUGUGACCCUCCUGUUUCAG